CCUACGGGUGGCUGCAGUGGGGAAUAUUGCACAAUGGGCGCAAGCCUGAUGCAGCCAUGCCGCGUGUGUGAAGAAGGCCUUCGGGUUGUAAAGCACUUUCAGCGGGGAGGAAGGCGGUGAGGUUAAUAACCUCAUCGAUUGACGUUACCCGCAGAAGAAGCACCGGCUAACUCCGUGCCAGCAGCCGCGGUAAUACGGAGGGUGCAAGCGUUAAUCGGAAUUACUGGGCGUAAAGCGCACGCAGGCGGUCUGUCAAGUCGGAUGUGAGAUCCCCGGGCUCAACCUGGGAACUGCAUUCGAAACUGGCAGGCUAGAGUCUUGUAGAGGGGGGUAGAAUUCCAGGUGUAGCGGUGAAAUGCGUAGAGAUCUGGAGGAAUACCGGUGGCGAAGGCGGCCCCCUGGACAAAGACUGACGCUCAGGUGCGAAAGCGUGGGGAGCAGACAGGAUUAGAUACCCGUGUAGUC
rnacentral:rRNA from 1 species